UUCGUCUCCGCUAAUUGUUGAUCACCAAUGGAUUCUCAACCUGUUGAACCAGUCAGCUACAUCUGUGGAGAUUGUGGACAGGAGAAUACUCUAAAGCCUGGUGAUGUGAUACAGUGUCGUGAAUGUGGUUAUCGUAUUCUUUACAAGAAGAGGACUCGCAGAAUCGUGCAGUAUGAAGCUCGUUGAUUCUUGAAGUCAUUUGGUAAAAACAGCAAGUGCCUGCUCUUAUGGAAGUAGAUAUUAAAAACGUUAGCUAACUACUGUUAAAAAUCACGCGUUUCAGCGUGGCCAUUGUGUGUUUUUACCUUUCUGCGUGUGAUUUCUUCAUGUUGUUAGUCUAUAUGGCAACUUCGACUUGAACUCAGCGUGAUUGAAAUAUUGUAGAAAUUCCUUACAUAGUCUUGUUUCAA
rnacentral:lncRNA from 1 species